rnacentral:rRNA from 1 species
GUUGAACGCUGGCGGCAUGCCUUACACAUGCAAGUCGAACGGUAACGCGGGGCAACCUGGCGACGAGUGGCGAACGGGUGAGUAACGCAUCGGAACGUGCCCAGUAGUGGGGGAUAGCCCGGCGAAAGCCGGAUUAAUACCGCAUACGACCUACGGGUGAAAGGGGGGGAUCGCAAGACCUCUCGCUAUUGGAGCGGCCGAUGUCAGAUUAGGUAGUUGGUGGGGUAAAGGCCUACCAAGCCGACGAUCUGUAGCUGGUCUGAGAGGACGACCAGCCACACUGGGACUGAGACACGGCCCAGACUCCUACGGGAGGCAGCAGUGGGGAAUUUUGGACAAUGGGCGAAAGCCUGAUCCAGCCAUGCCGCGUGCGGGAAGAAGGCCUUCGGGUUGUAAACCGCUUUUGUCAGGGAAGAAAUCUUCUGGGUUAAUACCUCGGGAGGAUGACGGUACCUGAAGAAUAAGCACCGGCUAACUAUGCGCCAGCCGCCGCGGUAA